AUGUUUUUUGCAAAAAACUCCCUGGAAUCUCCUCUCUCUCCCCCGAACGCUCUCCCCCUCCUCUGUCUCGAUCUCUCACACACACCCGACGCCACGUCAGCAGUUGACGCCGGCGAGCCCGAGCGGCGCGGAGGGCGUCGUCAUCUUCGGGGCCUCGGGCUUCACCGGCAAGUACGUCAUCCGCGAGGCGCUCAAGUUCCUCCCCCCAACGCCUCCCCGCUGCGCUCCCUCGCGCUCGCCGACCGCAGCUGGGACCGCGUCGCCGCCGCGCCGGGGCCCGCCCCCGACGUCCCCAUCCUCGUUGCCGACGCCUCCGACCCGGCCUCCCUCGCCGCGGUCGCCGCCCGGGCGCGCGUCCUGCUCUCCUGCGCGGGGCCCUUCCGCCUCCAUGGCCGCCAGGUGGCCGCGGCCUGCGCCGAGGCGGGGGCCGACUGCCUCGACAUCUCCGGCGAGCCCGAGUUCAUGGAGCGCGUCGAGGCCGACCUCCACGAGGUCGCCGCCAAGAACGGGUCGCUGAUUGUCUCCGCCUGCGGGUUUGACUCCAUCCCCGCGGAGCUCGGGUUCUUGUUCAACUCCAGGCAGUGGACGCCGCCCUCCGCGCCGCUCGGGCUCGCCGGCGUCAACUGCUGA
rnacentral:rRNA from 1 species